UGGGAUUCUAAGGCUUUAGG
rnacentral:piRNA from 1 species